UAGUGGAUCGUCUGCAGUAGAAAUUUAUGGUUCAUCAGAUGACAGAUGUAGCCUAGUUGUUAGGGAUUCGAGACGUGUUCAGCGAGGAGUUAAUAAAUGUUCAGUGCAUUCCGUUUAAACAUUCUUUUGGCUACUCGUUAAUGCACUGAAAUUUGCCAUUUUUUUGUACCAACCUGAGGGAUACUUUUUCAAGACAAACACGUUUGUUUGAAAGAUGAUUUUUCACUAGACGUCAUUUGAAUGUACAGCACAGUAUAUUUGCAUGUUAUUUCUUGCAUUUUUUAUUUACUGCCAGACAAUGUUUUCAUAUCUUAAAAGUGUAGUUCCUAUCCACAGCCCCCAGUCCUACAGUGUGAAAAAUAGACAGUUGAAAAAAUCUGCUCAUUGUGCUUAUCUGCACAAUGCCGGCUUCAUGUAAGCAAUCGUGAAAUGACCUAUCAACAGACUACUCAGUAUUAAAUUACUCUCCCCUUAUGGAAAUUUGUAGCUGUGGGCUUUCUUUAGAUGACUCUUAUAUUGGAAAUAUUUUCCUGCUUCUUGGAACAAGGAUCAUAGGAUGUCUUGAUGCCAAUGAAGUGUCAUUGGAAAGAUUGUAAAAAGAUGGAGAAACCUAAAGUUGGAGGACAAUACAUUUGUUUUCCGUUACUAGUUUUGAAAAACAAAUGGUAAAUUGGUAAAAUGAAACAACAUGUGACCUAUUACUUUGAAUAAAUUGUUUUCAAAAGUGGAGAUUGAUUCCAAAUCUUCAGCUUCCCAGGCAGACACCCACCCACAAAGCCAUGGGUCAUAGAUGAUAUUCACAGCGGGCACGACUGCGUUGUAAAUUGUUUUUCCCUUUAUCAAAGCCAAGCAGCAGAUUUAGAUCACGUGUCUACUGUGAAAGAGAUCAUGUGUCACAACAAAAAUGGCUCUCUCCGUUUGCGACAUCAGACCUACCCAAUGUGUCAUUCUGAUGCAGAACUCUUGAAAUCAAGUUGAAUGUUUUGAACCAUCUCAGGCCAAAGCUGAAGUUCGAGAGGUAUGAGAAAAUUCGUCGCUUUUUGGUUAGAGUUUCUUCGCCGUCCAAUGCAUCAAUUGGAUUGAUGUUCACUUCUUCGACGGCAUUGCUCAUGUAAUUUAAUGACUUUGUGCUUCGAAAAAAGUUGUACUUAUCUUCAAUUUCUAAAAGAAAACUUUGAUGCAUUAUUCUUAUCUCGAGAUUAUAUCGAUCCGCAAAGAUCAAAUGCACGAGGUAUUCCACAUCGUCCGGCAACUUACUAUCCAGCCACGCAUCCGUCAACAGAAUGUAUUAAAGAGGAAAGUAAUUGACUAAAUGCCGACUCGACGAUUUCCAUGCAAGAUGAAUGUUAUAAAUCCAAGGAGAUCUGGUGAGCAGGAUGCAACGGACUUUGUCGUGUCAAACCAUUAGCUGAAUACAAUGAAUACCAUCAGUUCCCCAGAACGAGAGGUUAAUAAUCAUACUUGAAUCAAAAGAGGCAUCAAGUUAAACGAGAUUUUAAAAUUAUAACAGUUGGAAGCGCGUGUGGUUGUUUCGAAGAACGCUACCUACAACGUUACCUUUCGUUGCUGAUUCGUCUCGAAGAUAAAAUAAGUUAUUUUUAUAAAUUGAAGUGCAUAUCUGGGCUCCCUUCUUUUCUGUGGCCCCGUUUCCCCUUGACUUAUGAUAAGCCCGUAGGGGGUCAAGCCCCUACUGUGAUCAGCAGCAAAGGUUGUGAG